rnacentral:tRNA from 10 species
UGGGGUAUCGCCAAGCGGUAAGGCAACGGUUUUUGGUACCGUUAUUCGGGGGUUCGAAUCCCUCUACCCCAUCCA